GACGAACGCUGGCGGCGUGCCUAAUACAUGCAAGUCGAGCGGACGAAUCGAAAGCUUGCUUUUGAUUCGUUAGCGGCGGACGGGUGAGUAACACGUGGGCAACCUGCCCUGUAGACGGGGAUAACACCGAGAAAUCGGUGCUAAUACCGGAUAACACGAAGUGUCGCAUGACGUUUCGUUGAAAGACGGCGCACGCUGUCGCUACAGGAUGGGCCCGCGGCGCAUUAGCUAGUUGGUGAGGUAACGGCUCACCAAGGCGACGAUGCGUAGCCGACCUGAGAGGGUGAUCGGCCACACUGGGACUGAGACACGGCCCAGACUCCUACGGGAGGCAGCAGUAGGGAAUCUUCCGCAAUGGACGAAAGUCUGACGGAGCAACGCCGCGUGAGCGAAGAAGGCCUUCGGGUCGUAAAGCCCUGUUGUUAGGGAAGAACAAGUAACGCAGUAACUGGCGUUACCGUGACGGUACCUAACGAGAAAGCCACGGCUAACUACGUG
rnacentral:rRNA from 1 species